rnacentral:tRNA from 1 species
AUUUAAGUAGUUUAAUUAAAAUAUUGAUUUGUGAUAUCAAAGUUGUAAUAUUUACCUUAGAUA